AGUUGUAUCCUGGCUCAGGAUGAACGCUGGCGAGAUGCUUUACACAUGCAAGUCGUACGAGAGUCUUUGACUCAAGUGGCGGACGGGUGAGUAACACGUAAGAAUUUGCCUUUAGGAGGGGGACAACAGCUGGAAACGGCUGCUAAUACCCCAUAUGCUUUCGAGUGAAACGGAUUUUUCCGCCUAGAGAGAAGCUUGCGGCUGAUUAGCUUGUUGGUAAGGUAAUGGCUUACCAAGGCGACGAUCAGUAUCUGGUUUGAGAGGAUGAUCAGACACACUGGAACUGAGACACGGUCCAGACUCCUGCGGGAGGCAGCAGUGGGGAAUUUUCCGCAAUGGGCGAAAGCCUGACGGAGCAAUCUCGCGUGAGGGAUGACUGCCUAUGGGUUGUAAACCUCUUUUUUCAGGGAGGAAUAAAUGACGUGUACCUGAAGAAUAAGCAUCGGCUAACUCCGUGCCAGCAGCCGCGGUAAUACGGAGGAUGCAAGUGUUAUCCGGAAUCACUGGGCGUAAAGCGUCUGUAGGUUGUUUAAUAAGUCAACUGUUAAAUCUUGAAGCUCAACUUCAAAAUCGCAGUCGAAACUGUUAGACUAGAGUAUAGUAGGGGUAAAGGGAAUUUCCAGUGGAGCGGUGAAAUGCGUAGAUAUUGGAAAGAACACCGAUGGCGAAGGCACUUUACUGGGCUAUUACUGACACUCANAGACGAAAGCUAGGGUAGCAAAUGGGAUUAGAUACCCCAGUAGUCCUAGCUGUAAACAAUGGAUACUAGAUGUUGAACAGAUCGACCUGUGCAGUAUCAAAGCUAAC
rnacentral:rRNA from 1 species